CUGGCUGCCACUGGGGAAGGAUCUCUUUCUGGUAAACUGUCCUUUGUGGAGCAUUUUGUUGCAAGCCUAAGUCUUUGGAUACAGGUUUUAAAUGCAGUUAUAAAAUCACACCAUGGCUGUUCCUGCCUACAAACACUGGGAAAUUUUUUCAUCGCUUUCCAAUGCUACUACUAUUGUUGAGUCAUUUCUACCUUCUAAAGAAAUUGCAGUGGACUGACUUCCCCUGACAGAAUGGCCUCUGUUUCUGCUUUUCUUUGGAGUGAGUAUGAAAAAGAAGACUUACUUCACAAAACAUAUAGACCUAUUACAGCUGGUUAUGAAUGAAUGGAAGUUCUUCGUGAUACAAAGCUUUCUGCUUUACAUUAAGAUGACUUCUGCUGGCUAAUACUGAAGGGGAAAUAGAAAUCCCAUCAAAAUCAGGGGCUUCACAUGUGGCCAGCAAAAAUCAUCCUCAUGUAAUUUCUUUCUUAUGCCUAGAAUUGAUUGAGAGGCCAAUGAUAAACUUUACCCAAAUGUGAGGUUUACUCAUGCUCUUGUCUAGUAAGCUGCAUUUUUUCUGAAAUAACUUAGUUUUAGCUAGACACUAGUAUUGUAAAUGACACAAAUUUCUGUUUUCUUUAGAGAAUAAAUCAGAUAUACAUGUCUAUAGAUAAUAAUAUUCAAGAGAAACAAACAAACAAACACAAAAAACCAAGCCCUUGAUUGUAUAUAGAAAAUUGCUGCAGACUAUAUUCUUCAGUAAACUAUGAAUGCAUCUUUUAAUAUUUUCCUAUUAAGCUACACAUAAGGGCACUGAGAAGAUGUAUAGAAGAACGGCACUCAGAAGAGAAUGGGACUCUCUGAAAUUAACUUGUUCACUUGAACAUAUAAUUUAAACUUGUCACAUGUUUGUUCAUGCCUUGGAUGCAAAGGCCUGGGGUUACUUAGUUGCUGCUUUAAGGGUUGCUAUUACUCCUGGGCUCAUCAACCUCAUUGUUUUCACUGCAUCUUUUGAAAGCAGCUAGUCAAAUGAACUAUUUGCUCCAUACAAAAAAUAAUAAUAAUUAAAAAAAAAAAGUGGUGAUGCCUAUAUUUAUUCCCAGACUGUUUCAGUAUGUUAUCAGUAAUGUAACUCUGACUAUAAUUUUUACGGAAAACCCUAGAAUUCUGUACAGUUGCUAGAUCAUUAUGAGCUUAUACAGCAACAAAAAUGGGUUAUUUUUCUCGCAUCUGACAGUCUGAAUCCUGUAGCUUAUUAGAUCAGGAUAUUCUGCAGAAUAUUUCACCUCUUUUCUCAGAAAAAAGAAAGAGAAUUAUCAAACCAAGAAAAUCAUUUCAGGCCCCUCAGGCCAUGUGGUGAACUUAGAAAUGACAUUUCAAAACAGAAUCUUUUAUGAUUCACCUCUUGAUUUUUGAUCAUUUAAUUCUCUUCUGCUCAACAUUUUCUCUCAAUUUCUGAGGAGUAAUAUUUUUAGAGGGCAGGCUGGAAACUGGAAUCCAGAAAUACCACACAAUACAUCUUGAAAUAUACAUUUUUGGAACACAGAGUAUGGAGAAGGGAUUUUCCAUUUGGAUCCUAUUGUUUGACUGACAAAGUAGUAAUAGUAAAAAUAGAUUAAUGGUGAUGAUUUUCAGAGCUUAUCUUUGCAUUUUUUUCCCAUGAUAUAUCUUAUAUAUAUCAAGGUGCUAUAAAAUCAUCCAUUGGUUUGGGAAAAAAAAAGCUGUGCUGAGCUUUAGUCUGGGGAAAAAGCAGAUGGUGUUUUCUGUACAGUCAUGAGAUAUCAGAGGGAGAUAAAGCUGAUCAACAGUCAAAUAUGAACAAAAAAAAAAAAAAGAUGAUGCAAACUGAAACAUCCAAAAAACAGACUAGUGAAGUUACAGAAGCUCAUUUCACCCAUCUUUUUGGGUGAACAUGCUCCUAAAUAUAAGGGGGAAGCUAGAGGGAAAUACCAUUGGUAAGCACAAGAAAGCUGUAAAGAAACUAACCUUACUUUUGUUUUUUUCACUUCUGUGUAGAUCUCUCCCUUCCUAAUCUUCAGUGCGAGUUCUGUUUUCUUGUCUCUGUAUACGACAAUCGUUCAAUUUGAGACAGAGUUUGUGGGAAGUGAGAGGCCAAGGGCUGCAGUUCUGUUAGGGCUGAGCUCUGUGCAGGCAGUGGCAGCCUGCUGGGCAGUAUAGUUUUUUACUGCAUAGUGGUGAGCCAAGUCCAAAAAACCUGAUACCAUGGCCAUGUUCAAGUUCUGUUACCAAAACAAGCACUGGUGUAUGUGGCAUGUACUGAUGCUACUAUUGUAUGACCACAGCAUGUGGUCAUACCCUCUGUGUUCCAUAUGAAUCAUGUGUUUAUACCUUGUUAUACAAGCUUGUUAUAGAAGAUGAUUAGAAUACCUGUGACUAUGUGGAGGAAUUAUUAAUAACAAUCUCUAAUCGAGCAAUGUCACCAAAAGGUAGAAAACUGACAUAUGAAUAUGUGUACUUCUGCAGAUAUAUUAGAAGUCUAAGAAAUAGCUUGGGAAACAAGAGUGAUAAGUUUACAUAAGGACAUCGAUGAAAUAAGCACACUAGAACUAGGAAACUAGGUAUUAGGAGCACAGCAUUGUAACGCCACAGCUCAUUAAAAAAAAGAGAUUAGAAUGUACAAGAAGAGUAAUAAAACUUUAUUUUAAAUAUAGUUUAAAAUCAAAUCAGGUAAAACAAAUGUAUUUGUAAACAAUACAUACCAUAGUGUUGACCUCGUGUUGAGCAGCAGUAAUGCAGAAUUUCCUUGUAUUUAUACUUGUAUGAUCUAUAGGCAUAUAUGUAAAUCAUUCCUUUGGAUUACUUUUGUAUGUAAAGAAAUGGAGUAUCUAAGUAAUAGUUCUUCAAACAGCAGAAGUUUGUUUAUAUAUUAGGAAGAAGCUGUAAGAUAUGUACUGGAUCAGCAGCUACUCACUGUUACUGUUAGAACACCUUGUUUAAUUCCAUACCAGUCACUUUUCAAUAGUUAAACUUAAUGAAAUAAAGGAAACAUUAUGGAAUUCCUGAGAGAACAAUAACUGAGGAAGUCAUUCUGUAGAUACGCUAGUAACAGGAAAAAUAUUCUACUGGUGUUGUGAUAUUUUAUGCUGUAUUGCUAUGGCUCCAAACUUCUGCUUUA